GACGAACGCUGGCGGCGUGCUUAACACAUGCAAGUCGAACGGAAAGGCCCUGCUUUUGUGGGGUGCUCGAGUGGCGAACGGGUGAGUAACACGUGAGUAACCUGCCCUUGACUUUGGGAUAACUUCAGGAAACUGGGGCUAAUACCGGAUAGGAGCUCCUGCUGCAUGGUGGGGGUUGGAAAGUUUCGGCGGUUGAGGAUGGACUCGCGGCUUAUCAGCUUGUUGGUGGGGUAGUGGCUUACCAAGGCUUUGACGGGUAGCCGGCCUGAGAGGGUGACCGGCCACAUUGGGACUGAGAUACGGCCCAGACUCCUACGGGAGGCAGAAGUGGGGAAUAUUGCACAAUGGGCGGAAGCCUGAUGCAGCAACGCCGCGUGCGGGAUGACGGCCUUCGGGUUGUAAACCGCUUUCGCCUGUGACGAAGCGUGAGUGACGGUAAUGGGUAAAGAAGCACCGGCUAACUACGUG
rnacentral:rRNA from 1 species